rnacentral:rRNA from 1 species
AAACCGUAUUUAUAAACUUAUGUACAAAACUUAAUAAUCUAGUAAACUUUUAAGUAGCUUAAAACCAGAGCA